UACGAAGGGGGCUAGCGUUGCUCGGAAUUACUGGGCGUAAAGCGCACGUAGGCGGUUUCUUAAGUCGGGGGUGAAAUCCUGGAGCUCAACUCCAGAACUGCCUUCGAUACUGGGAAACUUGAGUCCGGGAGAGGUGAGUGGAACUGCGAGUGUAGAGGUGAAAUUCGUAGAUAUCGGGAGGGAACACCAGUGGCGAAGGCGGCGACCUGGACG
rnacentral:rRNA from 1 species